AAGACCUCACGUUAUUCGAGCGGCCGACGUCUGAUUAGCUAGUUGGUGGGGUAAUGGCCUACCAAGGCGACGAUCAGUAGCGGGUCUGAGAGGAUGAUCCGCCACACUGGAACUGAGACACGGUCCAGACUCCUACGGGAGGCAGCAGUGGGGAAUUUUGGACAAUGGGGGCAACCCUGAUCCAGCCAUUCCGCGUGAGUGAAGAAGGCCUUCGGGUUGUAAAGCUCUUUCAGCAGGGAAGAAACGGUUACGGCUAAUACCUGUGACUAAUGACGGUACCUGCGGAAGAAGCACCGGCUAACUACGUGCCAGCAGCCGCGGUAAUACGUAGGGUGCGAGCGUUAAUCGGAAUUACUGGGCGUAAAGCGUGCGCAGGCGGUUUUGUAAGUCAGAUGUGAAAGCCCCGGGCUCAACCUGGGAAU
rnacentral:rRNA from 1 species